CGGAGGAUCCAAGCGUUAUCCGGAAUCAGUUGGGUUUAAAGGGUCCGUAGGCGGGUUUAUAAGUCAGUGGUGAAAGCCCAUCGCUCAACGAUGGAACGGCCAUUGAUACUGUAGAUCUGAAUUAUUAGGAAGUAACUAGAAUAUGUAGUGUAGCGGUGAAAUGCUUAGAGACUACAUGGAAUACCAAUUGCGAAGGCAGGUUACUACUAAUGGAUUGACGCUGAUGGACGAAAGCGUGGGUAGCGAACAGGAUUAGAUACCCUGGUAGUCCACGCCGUAAACGAUGGAUACUAGCUGUUCGGAGCAAUCUGAGUGGCUAAGCGAAAGUGAUAAGUAUCCCACCUGGGGAGUACGUUCGCAAGAAUG
rnacentral:rRNA from 1 species